rnacentral:rRNA from 1 species
UGAUCCUGGCUCAGAUUGAACGCUGGCGGCAGGCUUAACACAUGCAAGUCGAGCGGAGAGAGGUAGCUUGCUACUGAUCUUAGCGGCGGACGGGUGAGUAAUACUUAGGAAUCUGGCUAUUAGUGGGGGACAACAUUUCGAAAGGGAUGCUAAUACCGCAUACGUCCUACGGGAGAAAGCAGGGGAUCUUCGGACCUUGCGCUAAUAGAUGAGCCUAAGUCGGAUUAGCUAGUUGGUGGGGUAAAGGCCUACCAAGGCGACGAUCUGUAGCGGGUCUGAGAGGAUGAUCCGCCACACUGGGACUGAGACACGGCCCAGACUCCUACGGGAGGCAGCAGUGGGGAAUAUUGGACAAUGGGGGGAACCCUGAUCCAGCCAUGCCGCGUGUGUGAAGAAGGCCUUAUGGUUGUAAAGCACUUUAAGCGAGGAGGAGGGUACUGGUAUUAAUACUACCAGGUACUGGACGUUACUCGCAGAAUAAGCACCGGCUAACUCAGUGCCAGCAGCCGCGGUAAUACAGAGGGUGCGAGCGUUAAUCGGAUUUACUGGGCGUAAAGCGUGCGUAGGCGGCUAAUUGAGUCGGAUGUGAA